rnacentral:lncRNA from 1 species
GGGAAUACCAGGGGUGGGCACUGUCAAGAGACCCAGCUUUGACUUCAAAUGCCACCCAGAGGGACAACUGCUCACUUUCAGAGCAGGAGCAGGAGGCCAGAGGAGAGUGGGUCCCUAUGAUCCAGACCUCAAGAGAGGGUUCCUGGACCUCCCACAGAAAGGGAUUCAAGACCAGCUGAAACUGAUUAGAGCCAAGAUAGCCAACCAAAUGACUUCAGGAAGACCUCAGGCUUCAUUAUCAUCUCAUUUCCAUGCUAAAAAAACCCAGCUCCCUAGAACAAUGGGAAAUAUUGGGCACUUCAUCAGGCGAGUUCAGGUGCAUUUCUAGAGAUUGUCCAGGUGCUGGUAACAAUAAUAGAGAACCAUCCAUAUCCACAAGAGGCAGAACCUCUUCCAGCAAAAUGGUGCUGCCUCACCCAAAGGUGGCCGAGGAGGCCGUCGGAGGACCACAAAGCUGCAAGUGGCUUUCCUGCGGCCUGCAGGGAACAGGUGGAGGACACUUGGAAGGGCACCCACCCCGGGUCUCACAGGAGUCUGCACCCGCAGGUCACACUGGCAUUAGCCCCUCAUCCUCUGGAGUUCAUCUCAUCCAGGCGAAGACAGCUGGCUGGCCUCAGAGGGUGAGACGCAACUCGAGGGUAAAAACAUUUUUACAGGGCAUGGACACAAAAGUGGCCUUUACCUCUGGAUAAGCUUUUAAAACUUCCCAUUUACAUGUAAAGGUGUACUUUCUAUGUGCCACCAAGAAACCUAAAGUGAGUAAAAGGUGUUUCACUUUAAUCAAGUUCCCCAAUGAGGGGGCACAGCUCUGAAAAGCACUGUCACAACAGGAGAUUCGAGGGUGCAUGCAAAGCAAUGUUUCUAGAAAAUGCCAAAGGAAACAGACACAACUCCAGUGUGGACUCCCGCUUCCCUGCACUGCUGCUCCAUCCUCAGGGCGGAGGCCACAUCGUCCAGCUAGCUGUGAGAACCUCAUCAUGCUCCUUGAUUGUGUGCAGCAGGUGUCUGCUGAAGUCCUCCACACUCUGCCUGUCUCAUCCGCUGAGCAGUGCCUCCUCCCGAUUCAGCACGUCCCUGGUGCCGACUUUCUGCACGUGUUCACUUUGAGGCUGCAUUGUGGGCCUGCAAGAAAUGCAAAGCUGGUUGAGGCUUUAUUCAAUUCAAAUUCAAGCUGUUAAAUCGAGGCUCUCAGACUCCUGCUGCCUGGCCAGUGGAGAAAUUAACUUUCACAUAUGGCUUUGGGAUUUCUCUCUGUCAUCCUGGUCGACGUGUUCUCUCAUUUUUCUGAAGUCUGGGACCUCAACACAGACAUCUGGGUGAAGGCCUUGACAGCAGCGCUGGUGCAAAAUGAAUUGUCACAUCACACCCAACGUUCUCAACCUUUAGAAUCUGAAAGUAAGAAAAACACCUCAAACAAAACAUUAAAGAUUGAAUAAUUGAAGGCACUAUGCUUGGUGCUGAAGAAGGUCUAAGGAGGUCUACACCACAGAGGCUGCACCCACUCCUCAGCCUUGCUGAGCCACACCAUUCUCAUCUCUACAGCAUCCACCUCUCUUGGCUCUUGUAAGGAUUGAGACAUGCCACCAGGCUUACUAUUGAUUCUGAGUAAUCAGCACAGAUUUCUAAAAGAAACUUUAUGGGAUGCUGAGACAUGAAUAAAAACAACUUUAUUCCUUUGGAAAGGACAACCCACAUGCUAAGAAGAUGACACUACACGUUGUUAUAGCCCGAAAGGCCCUCUUUCCACAGGGGAGCAGUGAAAAGUAGAGGUUGCCCAUGUGGAUUCCCAAGUCAGAUAGAUGUGGAUUCAGAUCCCAGCUCUGCUGCUUGCUACCCAAGAGACCAUGGACUGUGGACUCUUUAGGUCUCAGGGUUUUUGUUUGUUGUCUGUUUUUCACUUCCAAAACCAGAAAAUGAGAAGAUAUUUUCCAUAAGAUGGCGGUGGAGAAGAGAACUUGAUGGACCUUGCUUGGACAAAAUGCCUUCACCGCUAACUCAGUCAGCUAUGGCGAUGGGUCAAGGACCUGGUGGUUUUACAGAGAAGACCCUUGGUCAAAUCUUUGUGAAUGAAGCAACCAUUCUGAUGUUCAAUAACAGGAAUGCACCAGUUUAUACCAAACUAUCUGUACUAUUGAGAACAGCAAAAAUAUCUGACCAAAAACACCAAAGAGUGACAUUUUAAAAGACAUCAAAGAACUCUCAAGGCUUCCAGAGUUGGAAAGAUCAAGAAAGAGAGAAUGCAACUUCAUUAAGUGACUCAACUCCAAAUAGGAGCAUUUCAAGAGUAUGUAUUUCAACAAAGAAGUAUUAGAAGAUGACAGUGUCCUUGCAGUAUCUUUUAGGGGCUAUCAGAACAUGAUUUCUGCUAUAUUCUAUCAUCGGAGCCUUAAUAAUGUUAACUAUAAUUCAAGGGAAGAUCAAAUAAACUUCACCUUUCAAGGAAAGGAGUAACAAAAAAAAAAAAAAAA